UACACGCUGUGACUAGCAUAUCAAUAAGCGGAGGAAAAGAAACUAACAAGGAUUCCCUCAGUAACGGCGAGUGAAGCGGGAAGAGCUCAAAUUUGAAAUCUUGAAAGGUCACCUUUCACGAAUUGUAGUUUAAAGAAGUGCUUUCUGUUACGAUCGUAAUAUAAGUUCUUUGGAAUAGGACAUCAUAGAGGGUGAGAAUCCCGUAUAUUGACCUUGGACUUUGUCAGCUUUGUGAUACACUUUCAAAGAGUCGGGAUUGUUUGGGAAUGCAGUCCAAAAUGGGUGGUAAAUUUCAUCUAAGGCUAAAUAUUGGCGAGAGACCGAUAGCGAACAAGUACCGUGAGGGAAAGAUGAAAAGAACUUUGAAAAGAGAGUUAAACAGUACGUGAAAUUGUCAAAAGGGAAGCGUUUGACACCAGUGUUGUUUUUCUGAAAAUCAAUUAAAGAACUGUUUAUGCUAAGCUGUUUAGACUUUAUCAGCUAUCUGUUUAGUUUUAGGCUUUUCUUUAAUGCACUUUUCAGUUAACAAGUCAACAUCAAUUUCUUUUGCUGUAAAAAAGCUUGAGGAAGGUGGCUUGAGAUUCGUCUUAAGUGUUUAUAGCCUCUUGCCUAUGCGGUAGGAGAGACUGAGGUCUGCAGUGUAGGCUAUUUGGCUAGAUACUCAGGUGCUAUGUGAUACCAUUUCAUAAGCAACUUGUUGAUUAUGUUUUGUCUAUUGCAUACUCGCUUGUACUAUCAUACCUACGCUUAGGAUGUUGACGCAUGAGAUAUACGC
rnacentral:rRNA from 1 species